CUCGGAGCCAAGAACUUUAUUUAGCUGGCCCGAAAUCCCACAGACCUGGACCGUCCUCCUGAGCUGGUGUCCUUGCUGGGGAAGAGGACAAAAACUGGUCCCCAUGCUUCCCAGUAACCACCUGAUCGUCCACUUGGAGAAGAAAGAGAAGGCAGGUGGCUAGGCAACAGUCAUGCUGAGAACAGACAAUGACCUGGACUGGAGAGGCCGUGGGGAGAAUAGUUGGUCACAGUGGCAAGAGGAACAAUAUGGCCUUCCCACCACCUGGGGCUUGAGGACCUCUGACUACCUUUACAACAUCCAUCCAGGACUUACCUCACCUUCGCUCAUGUAAUUAUCAUCACAACCACCAUCAUCUCUUGCUGGCCCUUUUAAAUGAC